AUUGAACGCUGGCGGCAGGCCUAACACAUGCAAGUCGAGCGAGCGGCGGACGGGUGAGUAAUGUCUGGGAAACUGCCUGAUGGAGGGGGAUAACUACUGGAAACGGUAGCUAAUACCGCAUACCAUCAGAUGUGCCCAGAUGGGAUUAGCUAGUAGGUGGGGUAACGGCUCACCUAGGCGACGAUCCCUAGCUGGUCUGAGAGGAUGACCAGCCACACGGGAACGGGGACACGGUCCAGACUCCUACGGAGGGCAGCAGUGGGGAAUAUUGCACAAGGGGCGAAAGCCUGAUGAAGCCAUGCCGGGUGUGUGAAGAAGGCCUUCGGGUUGAAAAGCACUUUCAGCGGGGAGGCGUUACCCGCAGAAGAAGCACCGGCUAACUCCGUGCCAGCAGCCGCGGUAAAC
rnacentral:rRNA from 1 species